AUUGAACGCUGGCGGCAGGCUUAACACAUGCAAGUCGAGCGAGCGGCGGACGGGUGAGUAAUGUCUGGGAAACUGCCUGAGGGUGGGGGAUCACUACUGGAAACGGUAGCUAAUACCGCAUACCAUCAGAUGGGCCCAGAUGGGAUUGGCUAGGAGGUGGGGUAAUGGCACACCUAGGCGACGAUCCCUCGCUGGUCUGCGAGGAUGACCAGCCACACGGGAACUGAGACACGGUCCAGACUCCUACGGGAGGCAGCAGUGGGGAAUAUUGCACAAUGGGCGCAAGCCUGAUGCAGCCAUGCCGCGUGUGUGAAGAAGGCCUUCGGGUUGUAAAGCACUUUCAGCGAGGAGGCGUUACUCGCAGAAGAAGCACCGGCUAACUCCGUGCCAGCAGCCGCGGUAAUUC
rnacentral:rRNA from 1 species